GGUUCUGUGGCGCAAUGGAUAGCGCAUUGGACUUCUAAUUCAAAGGUUGUGGGUUCGAGUCCCACCAGAAUCG
rnacentral:tRNA from 1 species